rnacentral:lncRNA from 1 species
CGGCUCAUCACAAUCAAUUACAUAUAUUUUCUAGUAGUACAUUAAUUAAUUAAUUUAUUUGAUGCAUGGUGAUGGUGGAGGAGGAGGCAUGGCUUUUGACAGCCACAGACAAGAAACCACCGCAUUAAUUCUUGUAUGUUUUAUCUUCAUGUAUCCACCGCAUCUUGUUUUUUUCCCCAAUAAAUAGUUAGUAGUAUUUAAUUAGUGGAGAUGCUGUUUAAUUAAUGGAGCUGCUGUUUGGUUGAUGCAGCGACCGUGGCGCUCCAACAAUCGCUGGAAUCGUUGCAACGGGCGCUGGGGUCCAGCGGCCAUUGGCUUCUUGGCCGCGGGCGCUGGAACUCAGCGCUCGCUUAAAAUUUCAUGGAUUUCAAUUCUCGUGGUUCUUGGCCGGAUUUC